rnacentral:rRNA from 1 species
UACGGAGGGUGCAAGCGUUAAUCGGAAUUACUGGGCGUAAAGGGUUCGUAGGUUGUUAUGUAAGUUAACUGUGAAAUCCCUGGGCUUAACCUGGGAAGGUCAGUUAAAACUGCAUGACUCGAGUAUGGGAGAGGGUAGUGGAAUUUCCGGUGUAGCGGUGAAAUGCGUAGAGAUCGGAAGGAACACCAGUGGCGAAGGCGGCUACCUGGCCUAAUACUGACACUGAGGAACGAAAGCGUGGGGAGCAAACAGG